UCCAGUACUAUAUGAAGGGGAACGGCGCAUCAACAUUAACAGUAAAAGCUGGGAAUAAAACAUCUUCUGUGACAAGGGUCUGGUACAAAGCAGGAGGGCAACCUGAUCCAGACAUGUGGAAAUUUGCUUCUAUAGAGAUACCACAAUAUAGUAAUCCGGUUAUCACCAUAGGAGGGGAUAUUUUUGGUUUUGUCGAAGGCGACAUUGCUAUUGAUGAUAUCUUGCUUGUUUCUGGUUCAUGUGAAGGCAGAAAGUAAACAGAAAACAGAAUAACCCUUAAAUUAUGCUGGUGUGAUAUUAACAGUUAUUUGAUCUUAAUAAAUUAUCAUGUGCUAUUAGGUAACUUGUAUAUUAUAAUGAUCAUGUGAUAUUGACAGUUACUUGGCCAUCAUAAAGACUAUGUAAUAUUCAGUAACUUGUUCAUUGUCUGUGCUAGCAAUUUUCAAAUAUAAUAAAUAUAA